AGAUUGAACGCUAGCGGGAUGCUUUACACAUGCAAGUCGAACGGCAGCGCGGACUUCGGUCUGGCGGCGAGUGGCGAACGGGUGAGUAAUAUAUCGGAACGUGCCCAGUAGCGGGGGAUAACUACGCGAAAGCGUGGCUAAUACCGCAUACGCCCGUACGGGGGAAGGGGGGAUCGCAAGACCUCUCACUAUGGAGCGGCGAUAUCAGAUUAGCUAGUUGGUAGAGGUAAAGGCUCACCAAGGCGACGUAUCUG
rnacentral:rRNA from 1 species